ensembl:snRNA U6 U6 spliceosomal RNA
GUGCUCGCUUUGACAGCACAUAUACUACCACUGGAACGAUACAAAGAAGAUCAGCACGGCCCCUGCACAACGGUGACACACAAACUUGUGAAGUGUUCCAUAUUUUA